GGAUCAGAUCGGUGACUCCUUCGGAUAAUGCUUCCGAAUUUUGAAUUAAAAAUAAAUACAAAAUGAUUAAUAAACUUCGGAAAUUCAUAACUUCUUCAUACGAACUCCGUUUUCGACGUUCUUUAUAUCCACGCGAAGGUGAGACCACGCUCUACGACUUUCGUUUAGACUCCGUCGGCUAAUUUUGACUUUAUUUUUAUUAAUUAUUUUUAAUAGGCCGGGACAGAAACUUUCGUUAUAAAUUCAUAACUUCUUCGUUUGACGUCCGUUCUCGCCUAACUUUUUAUCGUUUCAAUACCAACAAUGAGAUCUUCGAUUCUCAUUUAGAUUGCUUCGGCUAACAACCGCUCGAUCUCAAAUCGAGUAAAACAGGCUGUAUAUCGCUAAGCCGGAACUUCGAUAAAUCAUAACUUCCUCAUACGAAGUCAGAUUUGGGCGUUCUAUAUAUAUUCGGAAACCUCGUUUCAACUACUACAACAUUAACCAAAGAUAUUAAGUUUAUUUUACACUUAAAUUUUGACGCUUAUUUUUAUUCUUAAUUAAUCAAACCACAUAAUUAAGCAAUUAAGCACAAAACACAUAAUACUCAAAUAAUACAAUCUUAUUAUUUCAAAACGGGUUACAAAGGUUAACCUAGACUAUUACAUUGCUAAAAAUGGCAAGCCCGGAAACACAGGCGUUACAAUUCUCUCCACCUUAGAAUGAUUCCGUCCCCGGAAUCACACAUCAACAAACAAAUGCGGAUAGCGACUCAACAUGUCACUCUCCGUCUCCCAGGUGAGAUUCGGCCCAUUCGUGUGUUUCCAUCGGACAAGCACUAACCCAACCAUUUUGCGUCGCAACUUCUUAGUCUUUCGGUCAACAAUUGCCUCUGGUUCUUCAAUCAACCUUUUGUUCUCAUCAAUUCUCAAUUCAGAAAUUGGAAUUAUAUCGGGAACUUCUCCCGUGAACUUCCUCAAAUAACACACAUGAAAGGUGUUGUGAAUUCCAUUCAGUUCUUCGGGUAAUUCGAGCUUGUAAGCUUGAUUCCCAAUCCUCUGAAGGACUUUAAACGGUCCAAUAAACCUUGGACUCAACUUUCCCCUUUUACCAAAUCUUAUAAGUCCCUUCCACGGCGAGACUUUAAGCAAAACCGAAUCUCCAACCUCAAAAGUCAUCGGUCUUCGCUUCUUGUCAGCAUAGCUCUUUUGACGAUCUUGAGCUGCUAACAUUCUUUCCCUAAUUAUUUUCAACUUUUCAGCAGUUUGAUGAACCAUCUCCGGUCCCAUAAACUGCUUUUCCCCAGCCUCAAGCCAACAAGACGGCGUACGACACUUCUGUCCAUACAAAGCUUGAUAAGGUGCCAUCUUAAUGCUCGAGUGAAAACUAUUAUUAUAGGAAAAUUCUACCAACGGUAAAUGUUCAUCCCAAUUACCUAGGAAUUCCAAGGUACAUGCUCUCAGCAUAUCUUCAAGUGUUUGUAUUGUUCUUUCACUCUGACCAUCAGUCUGCGGAUGGUAAGCUGUGCUUAAACAUAACUUGGUACCCAUUUCCUCUUGUAGACUUUUCCAAAACCUUGAGGUGAAACGGCUAUCACGAUCCGAUACAAUCGUUAACGGAACACCGUGAAGCCUCACAAUUUCCUUCACGUAAGAAUUCGCAAGCUUUUCCAUAGACCAUUUCUCCCUGGCCGCUAUGAAAUGCGCACUCUUAGUGAAUCGAUCAACGACCACCCAAAUCAUGUCGUGACCAUUCUUUGUUCUGGGCAGUUUAGUGACAAAAUCCAUAGCAAUGUCUUCCCACUUACCCAUAGGCACAGGCAAUGGUUCUAAACUCCCGUAAGGUUUCUGAUGUUGUGUCUUGACUCUCGCACAAGUCACACACUCGGCCACAUACUUUGCAACAUCAAGCUUCAUCGUCGGCCACCAGUAGUAGGGUUUCAGGUCCCUAUACAUUUUAGUGCUACCCGGAUGAAUUGAGUACAUGGUUUUGUGAGCUUCUUCCAUCAGAAGAUCCCUAAUUCCUCCUGACUUAGGUACCCAAAUACGAUCUUGGAAUACCUUCAGUCCAUGACCGUUAGUACCAAACACCAACGUUUUACCCAAACGUUCCUCCUUUCGGUCAUUUUUCUCAGAAGCUUCCUCUUGAGCUUUCUUUAUACUUUCCACAAUAGUCGAGACAACUUCAAUUCUCAACGCUCUUGGCCUCUUCCUUUCAAGAUUGACUUUCCGACUGAGAGCAUCAGCAACAACAUUAGCUUUACCGGGGUGGUAAAGUAUCUCGCAGUCGUAGUCUUUAAGUAAUUCUAGCCAGCGUCGUUGCCUCAUAUUCAAUUCUUUCUGAUUAAAGAGGUAUUGGAGACUCUUAUGAUCAGUGAAAAGUUUGCACUUCGUGCCAUAGAGGUAAUGCCUCCAUAUUUUCAGAGCGAAAACUACCGCUGCCAACUCCAAAUCAUGAGUCGGGUAAUUCUUUUCAUGCUCUUUCAGCUGUCGAGACGCAUAUGCUAUCACCUUUUCUCUUUGGGUCAAAACACAACCCAAUCCAACACCAGACGCAUCGCUAUAAACAGCGAAGUCUUCAACUCCAUCGGGUAGAGAAAGUAUCGGUGCCUCGCAUAGCUUCUUCUUUAACUUCUCGAAUGCUUCUUUAUGCUUCUCACUCCAAGCAUAAGUAGCUCCUUUGUGGGUCAAAGCUGUUAAUGGAGUAGCAAUCGAAGAAAAGCCUUGGAUAAACCUUCGGUAAUAUCCGGCUAAUCCUAAAAAGCUUCGAAUCUCCGUGGGACUUUUCGGUUGUUCCCACUUCGUCACAGCUUCGAUCUUCGCUGGAUCAACCAUUAUCCCUUCUUGGUUGACCACGUGACCCAAGAAUUGGACCUCACGAAUCCAAAAAUCACAUUUGGAGAACUUCGCAUAAAGCUUCUCCUUCUUCAAAACUUCUAACACUUCUCGCAAGUGUCUGCCAUGCUCCUCCUGGCUUUUCGAGUAGAUCAGAAUGUCGUCUAUGAACACUAUCACGGAUUUAUCAAGGAAAGGAUUACAAACCCUAUUCAUCAAAUCCAUGAACGCUGCUGGAGCAUUGGUUAGUCCAAACGACAUAACCAAGAACUCGUAGUGUCCAUAUCUAGUUCUGAAUGCAGUCUUCUCGAUAUCUUGCUCUCUUACUUUCAGCUGAUGAUAUCCUGACCUAAGAUCGAUCUUCGAGAAAUAGCUCGAACCUUGCAAUUGAUCAAACAGGUCAUCAAUCCUCGGCAACGGAUAUCUAUUCUUUAUUGUUGCCUUGUUCAGCUCUCUGUAAUCGAUGCACAUUCUCAUACUUCCAUCUUUCUUCUUUACAAAUAACACCGGAGCUCCCCAGGGCGAUGAACUAGGUCUAAUGAAACCUUUGUCCAAUAACUCCUGAAGUUGCAUCAUCAGCUCCUUCAUCUCCGUCGGUGCUAAUCGAUAAGGUGCUUUUGCUAUUGGCGUGGUUCCUGGUAACAAGUCUAUUCUGAACUCCACUUGUCUAUCAGGUGGUAAUCCAGGAAGAUCCUCGGGAAAUACUUCCGGAUAAUCACACACCACUGGAAUGCUCUGCAUCACCUUCUUUUCUUUCUUAGCAUCAAUCACGAAUGCUAAAUAUGAUGUACAUCCCUUGGUCAAACACUUUCUGGCUUUCAUUAGAGAAAUGAUUCCAGAAUUCACUCUGCGUUUGUCCCCAUACACCAUAAACGAAUCUUUCCCAGGCGGGUUUACUUUAACUAUCUUCUUCUUGCACAAAAUUUCGGCAUCAUUGGCGCUAAGCCAAUCCAUUCCCAAGACGAUGUCGAAACCAUUUAGUUCGAUAGGCAAUAAUUCCUCGAGAAACUUAUUCCCAUUAAGGUCGAUCAAGACGUUUUUCAUACGAUGGCUAACAGGUACAAACUUGCCACUAGCUACUUCGACUAAUAAAGCAUUAUCUAGUCUAUCAACAGGCAAAGCUAGCUUUCUACCAAACUCAUGCGAAAUAAAGGAGUAGUUGGCUCCAGAAUCAAACAAUAUAUGAGCAGGUAAUUCGUUUACGAGAAAGGUACCUGAAGCGACAUCAGCUUCAUCUUUCGCAGCCUCAAGUGUCAUCUGGAAGGCUCUCGCCUUCGGCUUUGGUGGAAUGUUGGGCCUAGCUGCCUCCUUCUUCUUCGGACAGUCUUUCAAAAUAUGCCCCUCUUCAUUACACCCAAAACACAUCCUUUUGUUGUUCGGACAUUCAUUGGCAAAAUGUCCAACCUUUCCACACUUGUAGCAGGUCACAUCCUCGCUACAUUUCCCAAAGUGCUUUUUCUUACACUUAUCACACCACUUUGCUUCGCCUCCUUUUCCUCCAAACUUUUUCGAAUCAGAUUUCGAAAAUUUGCUCUUCUUACUGGAACCAGAUGUUCCUUCAAACUUCCUUUUCUCACCAACCUCAACCUUGACGGUGGUUCUCCCCUUGAUCAUGUUCUCCACAGACUUGGCAGCCCAGAUAGCUGCCUCUAGAGUAAGUGCCUGACGUACCGGCACCUCGUACUCCCAUGGAAGUCCCUUCGCAUACCGAUCCACCUUUGUCAGCUCGUCUGGAACGAUACGCAAGGCAAACUCCAUCUUAUCGGUGAAGUUAUUGGUGUACUCAUCCACUGACAUGCUACCCUUCGUCAAUGUCAAAAACUUGUUCUCCAACUCCAACAGAUUUUGAGCCGAGCAGAACUUGCGCUUGAACUGCACCAAGAACUCUGCCCAUGACAAUUGCAGUGGCUCAUUAGGGCUUAAGGUCUUCCCUAGAGUGUUCCACCAACGAACGGCUCCACCUCGGAAUUGUCGCACGGCAUAGAUAGUCUGCAACUUGCCUCUACAGCCACAUGUCAUAAAGGCUAACUCCAUUUCGGAGAUCCAAUCCAUAACCCCAAUCGGAUCCUCCUUUCCAUUGAAGGUCGAUGGUUUACAAGUCAAAAAGUCCUUGUACUUGCAUCCCAUUCCAUCAUUCCUUCCAUCAUGGUUAUCUUGCCUAACUAUCGGUGGGUUGGCUGGACCAACAGACCCACUGAAGUUUCCACCUUCCGAGUGCCCUUCAUUCAGUUCAGGCUCUUCCACACGAAUCGACAGUUCUUCACGAUUUUGUUGAAGCAACCGUCUAGUUUCAUCCAUCUGACGAUCCAACAUCGUCUGAAUCAUCAAUUGCACACCAGCCAUGGUUAUUGGCUCAGGUGCUGCUGCUACGACAGGUAUUGGCUCAAUCACUGGUGGUUGAUUCCUGUUUUCGUCAGCAUUUCCAACUCCACUUCUUGUUCUCACCAUUUUGAUCUACACCGAAUAAGGUGAAAUUAGAUCCUCAAUCAUGAUAGAUAUUCAAAUCAUCCUUAUCACUCCGAAACGUUUACAUGCUAGUUCUAAUAUCGUAGACGUACGCUUAGAAUCCUACACACAUAAGGUUUCUAGAUCCGGUCGGCAACAGACCAUAGAUCCGAACAAAUAAUAUCAUAUAUGGCAACAUAUAACAUUUAGCACAUAAAGCAUUUUAGGCAACUUUCCUAAAAUAAACUAGUGCUCGUGUCUAAAUCACAACAGACACACAUCUCAAAACUUCACUUAGCAUUCUAAGUUUAAGUCUAGAAAUCCUACAAAUUCCUAGUUCGCUUAAACUAAUGCUCUGAUACCAACUGUGACAUCCCCAAAAUCUCGGCCAGAAAAGACCGAUUUUCAUUUAUGCUUUUAAAUAUUUUCAGAGUAAAUCCUUUUGAUUUGAAAGAGUUGCGGAAUUUGUUCCCAAAAACAAAACAUGAUAAAACAUUGUUUACCGAAGCAUUUCAUAAAAGAAAUGUAUUUUCAUUAUAAUCAAAACUCGGGGUGUCAUGUUCCGAUACAGACCAAUAAGCAUAAACGAAUACAUUACAAGUCAUAUAACAAAUAUAAACAUAUGCAGACUUGUAAACAAAACAACUUGAUGGUUCAUCCAUCUCAUGCCCUUCCGCCACUACCUGUAAUACAAUUUAAAACUGAGUGGGUCAGGCUUGGGAGCCUGGUGAGCAUAUAGGGUUUUCAACCCACAAUAAAUAUCAUAUUUAAUUUUCACCAACCAACAAUAACCCAAUUACCCAUUCCCGUUAUUCUCACUUUAAUGUCCCUAAAACAACUAACAUAAGGGACCUAGUCUAAGAAUAUUUCAUCGGGGCGACAACACAUGCUUCGGGGGUACCUCAGCAAUAUAAGUCAAAUAAGGCAACCAUGAGGGGGAUGGAGUACAGCGAAUGAACACCCAAGUUCAUUAACACCUACAGGUGGCGAACCUGCUAAUGUUUCCACAAGACUGUCUAGAAUAGCCAGUGGUCGUCAUCUAAACUCCGCUAGAUGACUCAAUCAAACAACAACGAGGCCUCUCAUCUGUUUAUUACACACCAACUGUCUACCCAUGUUCUACCCAACAUAUUAGUAGAUAAAAAUAUACAUUUGUAUACAUAGUUUAAAGAAAACCUGUAUAGCAUGCUUUAAUCAACACAUAUAUCACAUAACAGAUGAGGCACACACACACAUAACACAUAUCUCAUAAAGAAAUAAGCAGAUCUAUAAGAUAGAAGAGAGUGAAUACUCAUUCACACAUAACACAACCAAAUAUAUACACAUAGCACGUAUUUUUAUAUAAAAUACUUCGUAUUAUUGUAUUAGAAGAAAUAACUACACACUCACUUGAUCAGAAGAUGAUCGGACAGCACUACGGCUUAUAGAAGUAGUAUUCCUCAGCAGAUCUGGAAGAUCUCCUCGAAAAUCGAACUUCUCGCGGGCAGAGCUUCGACUCGGGAACCGCACUUCUCGGGAUCUUCGGGAUCUCGGGACUUGCCUCGGGGCUAGAGUAUGAUACCGGGACUUCGGGAUAGCUUCGGCACGAAAAACGAUGCAAAAGACUAGAGAGAAGAGAAGAAAAUGAACAACAAAGAAGGCUGUCUUCGGAUCCUUUAUAUAGAGGCUGGAGCCUCGGAGUACGCGGGGCGUACAGGCGUACGCAGCGCGUACGCGUCCGAAAUCGUCAUUGCAUGCGUCAUCCGAAGUGUCGACACUAUGCUGAGUACGCGGUAGCGUAACCUCGUACGCGGGGCGUACUCCGGAUCACACCGGUGACUCGGCUUCGGAUAAUGCUUCCGAAUUUUGAAUUAAAAAUAAAUACAAAAUGAUUAAUAAACUUCGGAAAUUCAUAACUUCUUCAUACGAAUUCCGUUUUCGACGUUCUUUAUAUCCACGCGAAGGUGAGACCACGCUCUACGACUUUCGUUUAGACUUCGUCGGCAAAUUUUGACUUUAUUUUUAUUAUUUAUUUUUAAUAGGCCGGGACAGAAAUUUUCGUUAUAAAUUCAUAACUUCUUCGUUUGACGUCCGUUCUCGCCUAACUUUUUAUCGUUUCAAUACCAACAAUGAGAUCUUCGAUUCUCAUUUAGAUUGCUUCGGCUAACAACCGCUCGAUCUCAAAUCGAGUAAAACAGGCUGUAUAUCGCUAAGUCGGAACUUCGAUAAAUCAUAACUUCCUCAUACGAAGUCAGAUUUGGGCGUUCUAUAUAUAUUCGGAAAACUCGUUUCAAUUACUACAACAUUAAUCAAAUAUAUUAAGUUUAUUUUACACUUAAAUUUCGACGCUUAUUUUUAUUCUUAAUUAAUCAAACCAUAUAAUUAAGCAAUUAAGCACAAAACACAUAAUACUCAAAUAAUACAAUCUUAUUACUUCAAAAUGGGUUACAAAGGUCAACCUAGACUAUUACAUUGCUACAAAUGGCAAGCCCGAAAACACAGGCGUUACAGUAUGACGAUGGCUUGAGGAUGAAGGACUUAGGUGGCUGAUAAAAGUAUUUAACAUUAUCCUAGAGACUACCAACAUGCAUAAGAAGU
rnacentral:lncRNA from 1 species